AUCAGACACUGUCUCAUGAACGACUCCAUCUAGAUCCUUAUUGCCAUGAGGGCAGGGUGGUGAGCCUUCUAUGUAUCUUCUCAAAAUGAACUGAGAAGCCUGGUGGGCUGCAGUCCACAGGGUCGCGAAAGAGUUGGACCCAACUGAGUGACCGAGCAUAUUUUAAAAUGCAGCCAAAGGUCACGUUGGCUGCAACUCUGUAAUCCCUCCCCAAGAAGAACAACAGCUGAACCUCAUCACGACCCUGUGUUUCGUGUGUCGAUUCUUGCAUUAGUGACGUGACAUUUAUUUGCUUGGUGAGCUUCUACCUGCAAGGUUAACAAGAAUUGUCCACAGGAACUGGAAGAUGAGGAUGUGCUUGCUCAUUCACUCCUGUUACGAUUCAACAAUAAUAAAGAAGUGCCUAAAAUAUCCUAAGCACUGUAGUAAUGACUGUGGGGAGGCUGACAUCCUUAAGUGUGCUGGGAGGCCCAAGAGGGCACAAGUUGC